AGCAGUAGCCGCGGGAAUACGGAGGAUCCAAGCGUUAUCCGGAAUCAUUGGGUUUAAAGGGUCCGUAGGCGGUCUUGUAAGUCAGUGGUGAAAGCCCAUCGCUCAACGGUGGAACGGCCAUUGAUACUGCAGGACUUGAAUUAUUGGGAAGUAACUAGAAUAUGUAGUGUAGCGGUGAAAUGCUUAGAGAUUACAUGGAAUACCAAUUGCGAAGGCAGGUUACUACCAAUUGAUUGACGCUGAUGGACGAAAGCGUGGGUAGCGAACAGGAUUAGAUACCCCCGUAGUCCCUGUCUCUUAUAC
rnacentral:rRNA from 1 species